CCCCAAAAUUUUCUUCUCAGGAUCCUCUAAAGAUGUCUUUGCCCCUAGAAAGCAAGAAAAAAGAGAAUAUAGAUAUGAAGCAGAUCAUCGAAUCUACACUGAGAAAAUAAGAUAAAGAAUAAUAGGAUAAAUGGGUAAAUCAUCAAAUCUACUCUAAAAAAGAAAAAGGGGAAGAUAUAAAAAUGACAAAAGGUAGAUUACUGAAUUUAUUAU